rnacentral:rRNA from 1 species
AGAUUAAGUUAUUAAGGGCGCACGGUGGAUGCCUUGGCACUAGAAGCCGAUGAAGGACGUUACUAACGACGAUAUGCUUUGGGGAGCUGUAAGUAAGCUUUGAUCCAGAGAUUUCCGAAUGGGGAAACCCAGCAUGAGUUAUGUCAUGUUAUCGAUAUGUGAAUACAUAGCAUAUCAGAAGGCACACCCGGAGAACUGAAACAUCUUAGUACCCGGAGGAAGAGAAAGAAAAUUCGAUUCCCUUAGUAGCGGCGAGCGAAACGGGAAGAGCCCAAACCAACAAGCUUGCUUGUUGGGGUUGUAGGACACUCUAUACGGAGUUACAAAGGACGACAUUAGACGAAUCAUCUGGAAAGAUGAAUCAAAGAAGG